GAGAAAUUACUAAGAAAUCAAAUGUGAUUUUAACAAUUAUAUAUUUUAGACUUCGUAUUUCUUUUAAUUAUACUUUAUAAUAUCUAAUCUCUACAAUACGUGCCAUGAGUGCGCGUGCAUACGUUCCUCGCAUGUGCAUUCAAAGUACACGAAUUGUGGAAGCGAGAAGUCGAUUUUCUAUCUUGGCACACUCUCAAAAAGAGGCUGCGUUAGCAAUAUAGUAGUAUGGCUCCAUGUAAUAUCAGUGAAAGAAAUAGGCAGUACGUGGUAUGCGGUUUCCUAGUUGCCUAAUUAGUUACUAUUAGUUAUUGUACCGCCCUCCAUAUAAUUGCACCCUUAGGAACGUUUUCCAAGAGAUGCCCGCGUAUACCUCGGGGCUGUUAGUAAGUUUGUUCGGAAAAGUCAUCGGAUAAAAAUGAAAUUAUUGCGGACGUGACAGUAUUCCACAAUACAUGAUUUCUGAUAAGUUGAAAUUCUUAUUCUCUAUUCUCUGUUCCCUAUUCCUUUUAUUGUGCGGAGCCCCUAAUAGUUGCAAUUCAGCAGACUCAACUAUUACAGAGCGGAUUAGAGUCCUUAAAAAGAGAGAUUCCUCAACUCGUCACGUGACUGUGGAUGAUUCUGACUGGAAUAUGGAUCGCACAUUUGUGCUCCAUGAAAAUGUACUAUAACCUCAACCUAUUCUGAUAGAAUAUGCGUAUUACAUGUUAGAACAGCUAUUGUUUUGACUAUUUUUGAUGUUUUAAUAAAUCCGAGGAUACACAUUGGUCAGAUUUCCCAAAGAAGACCAAUAUCGAAAUGCAUGGGCAGAUUCUGCUUUGGGCGAGAACGCAUCAAGAUCCUUGGAUAAUUUAAAAUUGUUUGAGCCAUCUAUUGUAUGAUAUAUAAGAAUAUACCAAUAGUAGUGAGCGCUCACGGAUCUGUUCCACACAAUUGAGUCUGUUGAACGCGAUCAAUAAGCCCGGAUCCUUAUACGGACAACAGUGCUCUGACAUUGAACGCUAAUUGGUGAAAAACGGGCGAUGGGGAUCAAUUUUAGCGCGCAAGCGGCUUUUCACCAAUCUGCGGUAUUAGAGUUGAGGACCCGAGCUAAGAGUACGGCCAAUAGAGUGUAAAUAAAGCAAAACCGAAACCGUGUCGAAACGCGCGCGCGUUUUCAAAUGUGAAAUGUAAAACUGAAGCUAUGAGUCAGUUUCACCAACGUCAGUUACUUUAUCCACCGAUUAACUUUGAGUAUUGCCAAUUGCUAAACUGAAAACUCAUUAUCUCUAAUCUAAUUUCGAAAGUAUAUAUUUGUAAAAAAUAUAUUUACAUUUCAAUGUUUUAUUUAUUAUCUCCACACAAUACUUUUUCUUUAUUAUUACUAACAACAAUAAGUUAGAAAGGCAGAUUUUUAAGUCUUGCUGUUGAUUAUUCUGAUGAUAAAAUUAAUCAACGCAAAUACAUAGAGAAUGGACUGCGCAAUCCCUAUCUAAGUAAUAUUCAAAUAUGGUCAACAAUAAUGAGAAAGAGGGAAUGAGAAUGUGGAAGAUGGCCAAUUUCUCUCUCAUUCUCUCUCCCAUCUCUUAUAUCAUUGAAUGGAAAAAGACAGAGAUGGCCGUCUUCCACGGUCCCUCUCUCUUAUUUUUAGCGACGAUUUUGACACAUGAAUCUUGUCCAUUCUCCAUGUCUUUGAAUCAACGGAUAAGCUUAACUGAAGUUGAUGAAACUGGCUUAACUGAAAUUGAUGACUGACUCUAUGUUCAAAAAUUUGCUAGUACUAAAAAUCUAUAUAUAACGUAAACUAUAGAUUUUCAGUAGUGGUAGUAAAUUUUGGAGCACAACCUAAAGUGUAAAACUGAAAUUGUAUUACAUACAUAUAACAAUAAAUGCGUUCAGCAGAAUGCAACAAUGUUGUUUUAUGAAUCUGCUGAGAUAAGAUUAUUCCUCUAGAUCUAAAAAUAUAAUUCAAUCAGCGCAAAGAAAAUUUC
rnacentral:lncRNA from 1 species